rnacentral:rRNA from 1 species
CGGUAGAUUACUUUCGGGUAAUUGAGAGUAGCGCACGGGUGCGUAACGCGUAUGAAACCUACCCUAUACAGGGGGAUAGCCCGGAGAAAUCUGGAUUAAUACCCCAUGGCACUUUGAUCUGGCAUCGGAUUACAGUUAAAGAUUUAUCGGUAUAGGAUGGUCAUGCGUCUGAUUAGCUAGUUGGUGGUGUAACGGACCACCAAGGCUACGAUCAGUAGGGGUUCUGAGAGGAAGGUCCCCCACACUGGCACUGAGAUACGGGCCAGACUCCUACGGGAGGCAGCAGUAGGGAAUAUUGGGCAAUGGACGAGAGUCUGACCCAGCCAUGCCGCGUGCAGGAAGACGGCCUAUUGGGUUGUAAACUGCUUUUAUCUGGGAAGAAAAGGCCCAUGCGUGGGACAUUGCCGGUACCAGAUGAAUAAGCACCGGCUAACUCCGUGCCAGCAGCCGCGGUAAUACGGAGGGUGCAAGCGUUGUCCGGAUUUAUUGGGUUUAAAGGGUGCGUAGGCGGCUACUUAAGUCAGCGGUGAAAGUUUUGGGCUCAACCCAGAAAUUGCCAUUGAUACUGAAUAGCUUGAGUAUUGGAGGGGUACAUGGAAUUGAUGGUGUAGCGGUGAAAUGCAUAGAUACCAUCAGGAACACCGAUAGC